rnacentral:tRNA from 1 species
GAGACAUUAGUAAAAUAUAAAUACAUCACCUUGUCAGGGCGAAAUUAUGAGUUAAAUUCUCAUAUGUCUUA